rnacentral:rRNA from 1 species
UACGUAGGCAGCAAGCGUUGUUCGGAAUUACUGGGCGUAAAGAGUGUGUAGGCGGUGUUCUAAGUUUGUCGUGAAAUCUCCCGGCUUAACUGGGAGGGUGCGGCGAAAACUGGAAUGCUAGAGGAUGGGAGAGGUAAGCGGAAUUCCUGGUGUAGCGGUGAAAUGCGUAGAUAUCAGGAGGAACACCUGUGGUGUAGACAGCUUACUGGACCAUUUCCGACGCUGAGACACGAAAGCGUGGGUAGCAAACAGG